CUUCUGCUCCUGAUUUCUAAAAUCGAUCUGUCAGCCUGAGCCUUGACUUCAGUCUCAGCCUCAGUGCCUCCCAAAAGCAAUCACAUCUGCCCUGGGCAAGGCAUAGACACUUGAGUACUGCUUUGUGAGUCCUCCACUCACCUGGCCUAACUUACUGACCUGCCAGACCUUAAACUCUUGGAAGAAAGUCUGAUGCUCCUGGGACCUCCCUGAUGGUCCAGUGGCUAAGACUCCACGUUCCCAAUGCAGGGGGCCUGGGUUCGAGAUUCACACGCUGCCACUAAACGAUUUCACAUGCCGCCAGGAAAAUCCCCCGUGCAGCAAAAGAAGAAGAAGAAGAAAAGUUUGAUGCUCCUUUUGUUUCCAACCCUACACACUCGAUGUGGGAUCUUAGUUCCCAAACCGGGAAUUGAACCCCACAGCCCCUGCACUGGAAGGCAAAAUCUUAACCACUGGACCACCAGAGAAGGCUCUCAAGAUUCGUUUUUUAAAAAAUUUUGCUAGUUGCUGUUACAGAAUGGCUUUAAAAGCAGAGACAUCAGGGAGCAGUUUACUGCAGACCUCUCGAGAGAUCCUGGAAACAGCUCAGCCCCCAGGCUGGGGGAGGCGAGGAAAGUCUGGCAACAGUUGG
ensembl:lncRNA